CACGGGAGGGGCGGGCCUAGAGCGACAUGACUAGGCGUGCAGCGUGUCUGAGCGCAGUGGUGACAAAACGAGGUACAUACAGUCUCGGAUAGAUUCGUAGGGAAUUACGUGGAGGAUCGGUCAAAUGAUAAUAUGCCACGUGGAAGGCCGAAGGCGCAGGCGCCUACAGUACAGUCACUUAAGCUUCAACACGGAAGCUGGGGUAGCGAAACGG
rnacentral:rRNA from 1 species